GUGCUCGCUUCAGCAGCACAUAUACUAAAAUUGGAACGGUACAGAGAAGAUUAGCAUGGCCCCUUUGCAGGGAUGACAUGCAAAUUCAUGAAGCAUUCCAUAUUUAA
rnacentral:snRNA from 1 species